CAUCAGAUACCCUGAAACUGGAGUUAACAGAUGUUUGUGAGCCACUAUGCGGGUGCUGAGAAUCGAACCCGGGGUCUUCAGGAAGAGGUUCUAGAUGGCUGAGUCAUCUCUCCAACCCCAACAAUGAUUUAUUGAUUAACUUCAAGCACAGUUGGCGAUAAGAUAUGCUAGAGAUGGGGCGGGGGCGGGGGUUGGAGAUGGUUGUGCAAAAAGGAGGACAUAUUUAAUUCCAAGCCACACACUUAAAAAUGAUUAGAAUGAAAAAGGGGAAUGUCCAACUUUUUAAUAUAUUUCAUCACAAUAAAAGUAUGCAUACAAAAGAAUAUAAUAAUGUAAAGAUAAAACACAAACACCCAUAUUACUGAAUUAAGACAUAAAAAGUUAUAGUUUUCAGACUCUUAUGAAUGGUGUCCUCUUCUUCUCAACCAUAACUAUCUUUUCUUAUUUUUAAAGCAUUUUAAUGUUUUUCAGCCUUGAUAUGCCCCAUGCAUAAUUAUUACAUAGUUAUAAAUAACAUUUGAUAGGUUGUCAAAUUUGAUAGGUUACCAAAGCCAUAAUUUUGAAGUGGCUGUAGGUCACUCACACUGCCCUUGGAAUACAUUAAGUAAAUACUUGUAUCAUUUUUAUAUUCUUGCUCUAUGGAUACUUUCUUGCCCUUCGCUGUUCCCAACAGUGCAUCACUACACAUUCCCAUGUAUCCCGGGGCACAUGUCUGUGAGUGUCUAGAGACAGAGUCAGUAGAGAUGCUGCUGUGGGAGACAGAGCAUGAUCAGCUUUGCAUAAAGUCAGUCUUUAUACAUUCUUUUGUAAACUGUAGACUGUUCAGUUCACGCGCCCCUUGACUCCACAUAUCUGAUAAGGUUUUGAGAUGAAAUGUUUGCGCUUAUAAUUUGCGUUUUCCUCAAGCAAAUCAUCUCCCCAUUGCUUACAGUUCAUUCCUGUUUCCUCUUCAGUGAAAUGUGUGUUCACAACUACCCAGAAAUCCUCCGGGUGACUGCCGGAGAAGGAUAAAUCACCUUGAGGGUAUUGAAGGAAGUUCCCCGUGGAUGGGUAGAAACGGGCUUCCUGGAACCCCUGAAAACUGGCAUGAGUUGGAGAGAGGCGGUAGCUCCAUUUUCUGGGAAAGGGGGUGGGGAUAAACCUUUUAUGCUUUGUGGUUCUGGAAAAAAGAAAUCACUCAGACGCUAAAACGGGAAAGGAUUCUUCCCUCGGUGGAAACAAUCAAAACUCAACCCAAGUAGGUUGAAAUCAUUAAAGGAAUUUCUGAGUGUGUGUCACUGAGAAGUCCUGAGAUAGGAUGUGUGUCACGUUGUUAUCUCAGUUGAUCCAAAGGUUCGAGAGGUCAUGGAGCUCUGGGGACACUUUCUUGACUUCCUUGUCAACCCUAUUCUCAGGCUGGGUUCUACCACCCCACACCACCAAUGUCGCCGCCGCCUGGAUUUACUCUGACCCAGGCAUUGUUCUAGGUACUUAGUCUCUGUCAGCUCACUGAAUGCUCUUCAUACCCCUGUGUGGUGGGCAUUGUAACCCCAUUUUACAUCUGAAGACGCUCAAGAACAGUCCCAUCGAAAGCUAGUGGAUCUGCCUGCCCUGGAUGCAGGGGUCUAGAUCAGGACUCUGAGGAAGAUAAGGGAACGGGACCCUAGAUAGUACACAGAAUGGCUUAGCACACUCCUCACUCUAGGAACCACUUGUUGGAUGUUCUGUUCAGCAGUGUCCACCAGAGGGCAGAAAAAGAAAGGGACUGGAGACUUCCAACUGUCACGGGAGACCUGAGCUGCUUCAUAAGGACGAGGACGUCACAGGGUCUAAUAUAGCCCAUGCCGGCCGGCCUUGACCUCACCAUGUAGCUGAAGAUGACUUCGAGGUCCCCAUCCUCUGGCCUCUGCCUCCCAAGUGCUGGGAUUACAGGCAUGGGCCACCAUGCCAGUCUCAGAGUCCUGGUUUUAUACGGUGGAAGAGAAGAUCUCCAAUUUUCCUGCUUUGUUAUUUACCUUCCUACAGCACUUAUUCAACGUUACGUAGACACUACAUUUGCAAUUUCACAAAUAAA